rnacentral:rRNA from 1 species
GACAUAGGUGGCAAACGUUAUCCGGAAUUAUUGGGCGUAAAGGAUGCGUAGAUGGCAGGAUAAGUUAUUGGUCGAUAUCAAACUCAAUUUGGUGGAAGCUGGUAAUACUGUUCUGCUAGAGGACAGGAGAGGUUGAUGGAACUCUAUGUGUAGGGGUGAAAUCCGUUGAUCUAUAGAGGAACACCAAAUGGCGAAGGCAAUCAACUAUUCUGUUCCUGACAUUGAGGCAUGAAAGCGUGGGUAGCAAACCGG